AACAUUUGGUAAUCUUAUAAACCUGACCAAAGCUAACUCUUAACUAUACCAGGUAUAUGGUCUUCUCCGUAGCAGCAGUAGUUGAGACAUCAUUAGUAGUGGUUAGGUUUGCACUUAUGGUACGAAAUGAUUCUACAAAGUUUAGUUGACAGGUUUGUAUGGCCUCAACUACUGUUGCUAUAGUACUUAGUUAUGUGAUGUGUGUUUUGUUAUUUUAUCAUUUGAAUUUUAUUUGACACAUUUUUUUGUGUUUUGUUACUUUGUCAUUUGACUUUCAUUACUGCCUUGAUGUCUAAUUCAAUGAUUACCUGACUUCUUAAUAUGGUUGUAUAAAUAAUCCUUCUGUUUUCCCUUAUUCUUCUGGUUUGCAAGCUAACAGUUUAAUUGAUGUUGAGUUUCUUCGCUUAUUGCAGCAGAGGUGAUGGAUUUUGUACAACUGUAUUUCUGGAAAUGCGUGUACACAGAAUUACAAUCUGAAGGAGCGAUGGAAGUGAAGAUUGCGCGCUUUUAUUUAAGAUUACUAAUAGUAAAUGGUAUAUUGUUUUUGCUUCAGAUUUAGGAGUGUUAGAUCGGCUACAUAGUGCAUUUGUUCAGUCUCAAAUUUCUAGUGUUAUUACUAGCAUAUUCUCUAAUUCUUGGUAUUAUUCAACAUCUGCUCUGUCUCAAUUCUGUAUCACAUCUCAUAUUGAAUUGUGGAUCAUCAUUUUGCUUAAAAUGGUGUUGCCUUUGAGUGUUUUGAUUUUAUGCAGGUUUGGCAGUUAAUUUGUGUUCUUGGAGAUUGAACUUUUUCAGCGAGAAUUAUUUGGGUUCGGAAGCUGCCCUGAAGCGGUGGUGAAGUGUUGGAGACUAAAAAUCUGCUAGUAGUGCAUUUUCUUUGAAGCCAUGUUACUCUUUUCUUUAACAAAAAUGCUUAAAGCGCUUUCUAGAUAUGCUUGUGAUGUUUUGAAGUCAUGUUGGAACUCUUUAUUGUCAUGUGAACAAUUGAUAUUUUUGAAUGAAUAUAAUUUGGUUGUCCUAUUGUAAAUUCUGUUGCAUUGAGAAAACAGGCAGGACAAAAAAG
rnacentral:lncRNA from 1 species